rnacentral:rRNA from 1 species
GACGUAGGUGGCGAACGUUAUCCGGAAUUACUGGGCGUAAAGGGUGCGUAGGCGGGUAUACAAGUCACAUGUGAAAUUCCGAGGCUCAACCUCGGAGCUGCAUGUGAAACUGUAUAUCUAGUGGAAUGGCGGAGAAAAUGGAAUUCCAUGUGUAGCGGUGAAAUGCGUAGAGACCCGGAGGAACACCAGUGGCGAAGGCGGCUUCCUGGUCUGCGACUGACGCUGUGGCGCGGAAAGCUAGGGGA